rnacentral:hammerhead_ribozyme from 1 species
AUCCAGAUGAAGAGUCUCAAAUAGGACGAAAAGCGCAUCCUGGAC